GUUAUAGGAGUAGGAUGUUAUAGCAGUAUGAUGUUAUAGGAGUAGGAUGUUAUAGGACCAGGUGUUAUAGGAGUAGGAUGUUAUAGGAGAAGGAUGUUAUAGGGCCAUGUGUUAUAGGAGUAAUAUGUUAUUGGGCCAGGUAUUUUAGGAAUAGAAAGUUAUAGGGCCAGGUGUUAUAGGGCCAGGUGUUAAAUGAGUAGGAUUUUAUAGGGCCAGGUGUUAUAGGAGUAGGACGUUAUAGGGCCAGGUGUUAUAGGGCCAGGUGUUAUAGGAGUAGGAUGUUAUAGGAGAAGGAUGUUCUAGGAGAAGGAUGUUCUAGGGCCAGAUGUUAUAGGAGUAGGAUGUUAUAGGGCCAGGUGUUAUAGGAGUAAGAUGUUAUAGGCCAGGUGUUAUAGGGCCAUGUGUUAUAGGAGUAGGAUGUUAUAGGGCCAGGUGAUAUAGGAGUAGGAUGCUAUAGGGCCAGGUGUUAUAGGAGUAGGAUGCUAUAGGGCCAGGUGUUAUAGGGCCAGGUGUUAUAGGAGUAGGAUGUUAUAGGGCCAGGUGUUAUUGGAGUAGGAUGUUAUAGGAGUAGGAUGUUAUCUGAGUAGUAUAUUAUAGGGCCAGGUGUUAUAUGAGUGAGAUGUUAUAGGGCCAGGUGUUAUAGGGCCAGGUGUUAUAGGAGUAGGAUGUUAUAGGGCCAUGUUUAAUAGCAGUAGGAUGUUAUAGGGCCAG
rnacentral:lncRNA from 1 species